rnacentral:rRNA from 1 species
GACGCAGCAGUAGGGAAUCUUCCGCAAUGGANGAAAGUCUGNCGGANCAAUGCCGCGUGNAGGAAGAAGGCCUUCGGGUUGUAAACUGCUUUUGUACGGAACGAAAAAGCUUCUCCUNAAGAAUGACGGUACCNUAAGAAUAAGCACCGGCUAACUACGUGCCAGCAGCCGCGGUAAUACGUAGGGUGCAAGCGUUAAUCGGAAUUACUGGGCGUAAAGCGNGCGCAGGCGGUUAUUUAAGUCNGAUGUGAAAUCCCCGGGCUCAACCUGGGAACUGCAUUUGAAACUGGNUGGCUAGAGUACGGNAGAGGGGNAUGGAAUUCCNCGUGUAGCGGUGAAAUGCGUAGAUAUUGGGAGGAACACCAGUGGCGAAGGCGGCUCUCUGGUCUGUAACUGACGCUGAGGCGCGAAAGC